rnacentral:rRNA from 1 species
UACGGGGGGAGCAAGCGUUGUUCGGAUUCAUUGGGCGUAAAGGGUGCGUAGGCGGCGCGGUAAGUCCGGUGUGAAAACUCGAGGCUUAACCUCGAGAUGUCAUCGGAAACUAUUCGGCUAGAGUCCGGAAGAGGAGAGUGGAAUUCCUGGUGUAGCGGUGAAAUGCGCAGAUAUCAGGAAGAACACCUAUGGCGAAAGCAGCUCUCUGGGACGGUACUGACGCUGAGACGCGAAAGCGUGGGGAGCGAACAGG